GGGGGGGGGUUGUAAAAGAAGACGUACAUAAUACGUUGAGGGUUCCAAAGAAGGGAGUAGGUGUGGAAGUCUUUGGUGGGAUCGAACCAAAGGUAGAACUGUUGCUCUUUAUCACCUUUGCCUUGUGUAUAUACAUUGGUGUGGACUGUGUAUGGGUCUCCGCUUAGGUUCCCCAAGAACUCGAAGUCGAUUUCAUCCCAUGUCGACCCUUCCGAACGAAGCUGCAAUUGUCACCCCACAUAUCAGCACAGAGUUGUAAAAUAAAUAAGAGACAAGUAUGAUGAUACAACGUACAUAGUAAGUGGUAACAGUGCCAGCAGAGUUGCCUGGGACCAGCUUAAUGUUCAUAUCAAUCUUCCCAAACAGAUAUUGGUUCUUGGAUUGAAAACCAGAGCCGGAGAAUUUGUCGAGGGUGAGAGUGAGAAGGUUUCCGUUUUCGAGAAUCUUGCCCCUGCCAUCACCCCAAGUAACAUCGAUGUCUUGGUUAAAGUUGGCAGCUGAGGCAAGUAUUACAAAGCUGAAUAAAAGAGAGAGAAGCAACGAAGUGGUCAUUAUUUUGGUGGGUUUGUAUUGUAAUUUAGAUUAUGAUGUUUGAAAUGGGGAAGUGAUAGAGGGUGGUUAUAUAGGGGGGAAGGAUUUGGUGAAACAGAGUAGAGAGGGGUUGUUUGGAAGCUUCGUGGUAUGUGUUUCCGUCGGGACAUUGAGUGAAUCGAAGUUGUAAACAGCUGGAACCGUAAAAGAGAAAGAAAGAAGGGGUCCAAAUGUGAUAAUACAUAACUAAUGGCUGUUCCUUGCUUCCAAAAUGCAUGUUUAAUUAAUGGGUUUGGUGCCUUCUUCCUAUGUCUGGUUGGUGCAAGCAGAUAGAUAUGAAUGUCAGGAAUUUAAUCCGAUUUUAAAAUUUGAGCUUUUAAAUAAAAAAUAAAUUAUUUAAGAUAAUAUCAAUGACUGUUAAAAUAAACUUUAAAAAUAUAGGUGUUUUUAUAUCCAAUAGUAAGUUACAUUAUAUUUUUAAAAAGAAGAUCGUGUAUUUGAAUUUUGAAAAUAUUGAAAUGAUCUUAAAAUAAACAUGAUUAAUUUGUUCUACAAUUUGAGUGAACCAAAAGAUUUCAUUAGCUUAAAAUCAACGGUGUUAAUUAAUAUGAGUAAUUGUCAAUGGCAAAACCAGGGGAGGAUAGCAGGGUCUUAGACCCCCUAAAAUAAAAAAAAUUUCGUAUGAUCUUUUGAGUAAAGGUAAAAUUAUAUUUUGGUCAAACUUAGAAAUAUAAAAAUUUAAUUUAAUCUUUUAAAAUUUAUAAAAAUAUAGUCUAUUAAAAUAAUAAAAUUAUAUUUUUUAUCGUAAAAAUUACAAUUUAAUUUUAACUGUUAAAUUUUUUUUAAAAUUUCACCCAUAUUGAUUGACUAAUUUUUGGGACCAACAAAAACUCAUCCACUGGGCUCAUCAUCUCAAACAAAAAUAAUAAUUAAACUAAUUAUAAAAAUGUCUAACCAAGUUCACAUUUUUAACAUUCUUUCAAUGAAAAUUAAAAUGAUUUUUACGCUUCGCGUUAAUUUAAUUAUUUAUUUAUCUCAAAUUUUGGAGUAUAAAUUUGAAUGUUAAAAUAUACUUUAAUCCUCCUAUCAUUUUCAGAAAUUUAAACCCUCUACUCUUGAGGAUAAAUAGACAUAAAUGAUUUGUUUAACUAUUAAGUAGAAAUUAAUCACAAAUAAUUAAAAUAGAAAAAUAAAAUUUAAAAUUUUUAAAAAAUAUAUAUUUGAACAUUAAGUAGCAAAAAAAAAACAAGUAACUUAAAUGUGAAAAUAAAAUUUAAAAAUUAUAAAAAUUAAUUCUUUUCCAAAAUACUAAUUAAAUUGUCUUUAUUAAGUUUUAAUACCUAAAUUACUUCUACUAAUUUUUUUUAUAGUACCUAAGCUACCCCUACUUACUCCUUAUGGCUAUCAAAGGAGAUGGUUUUAUUAUUUAUAGAUAGAUAGAUAACUUUAAAUAAAAGAAUGUUCAUCAAUUAGCUUUUAAAGUAUUGAUAAGUGUUAAAAGUAAUAUAUUUUAACCUCAUUCUUAAUGUGUUUUUGGGUGAUAAUUCGAUGUUAAUUGUGAAUUUUAUACUCUUAAUCCUUUAAAUUCAUGUUUUGAUGCCUAAUAGAGCAAAAGGAGCAAAAAACGAGUAAAAACCGAAAAAUCAAAGCAAGUUAUAGGACCUAUACGGGCAAACCCAUUCCACAUGACCAUGUGACCCACAUGAGCUACCAUACGAGCGUGUGGUAGGUCGUGUCGAUUGCACGGAUUUGCAUUCUGAAUAGCAAAAAAUCACGUUUUUAAAGUGUUUUAGGCAUUCUAAAACGUAUAUUUGACAAAAAUAAAAAGAUAGAAGGGAGCCAUUAUAGAAUUUUCAAGAAAACAACUCGAAAAACACCAUUGAAGCCGAUUCUGAAGUAGAUUUCCGUCAAGAUUGAAGACUCUCAGUUGAUUUCUUAAGAGAUUGUCAUAAGUUUUUUUUAUUUCUUUCGGUUAUACUGUAUCUUGGAUUUUUUUUUUCAAGCAUGAAUUAAUUUUCUAAAUACCUAGGGAGAUGAACCUUAUGAUGGAUUCUUACGUUUGAUUUUUAUUUUACGCAAUAAAUAAUUAUUUUUUAUUCUUAAUUAUCUGUGCUUAAUUUAUUGGUUUAAUAUUUCUAAACUAUUGAUCCAUAUUUGAUGUACUUAAAUCAGAGGUUAAAUAAACCAUAUGUAAGAGUAGAUUUUGCUUAAUUGAGUGGAGUUGCAUGCAAUCCCAAAAAUAUGAUGACAUAAAUCUAUUGGAUUAGAGUCAAAUCUAAUUGGGAAAUCCAUAGCCCGAGUUAAUGCGAUAAUAAGAGUUUUAAUUAAAAAGAACAAUCAAUUAAUCAACCUAGAGUCAGUUGCUCUUAUUCUCGAAAGAGAUAUUAGCAUAAUUAGGGGUUUCCAUGGAUCAUGUCACUAAAUAAAGAAAUUGCGUAAUUUAGAUUGAUAGUGACAGAUGAAAUCUAGGUGAAUUAUUUCAUGAGUAUUGUUUCGCUUCUUAGUUAUUAAUCCUUUAUUUGCUUCUUUUGUUCUUUGCUAUGUUUAUUAGUUAAUUAAAUUUAGUUUUUAAAUCAAUCACUUGAAUUAUUCUGUUAAAUGAUAGAAAAAGAUAAUAAUUAUUAGCACUUUUAAUUUUCAUAGAAACGAUAUCUUUAUUCAUUAUACCUAUACAAUUAACUGAUAAAUAAAUUUACUUUAGCUAGUUCCGUGGACAUAAAGUAAUACCAAUAAUUCGGAAUGAAUGAUAGGAAAUUUGAUUUUUUUUAUUGAAAUUUUAUAAAUAAAAAAUAAUAUUGAGAAAUCCAACUUAAGAAUUCAACACUAAUAUCACAUAAGAGAAAAGACAUAUGAUAUGAUAGGAAAGCAGGUUGAUGACUGGCUUGUGGAUAAUUAUGAAAAGGCAAACAAAAGAGAGAAUAUGAUUACAAAUAAACAGCUGGCUGCCAGAAUCAUUUCAUUGUGAAAAAAAUAUGUUAUAACAUGUUAAAAUAAUAUUAAUUUAUAUUAUAAUUAUAAUUAAUAUAAUAUGAAUGUCAAGCCCUCGAAUAAAUGCCUAUAAAAUAAUGUUGUGGCAUGGCCCCAUGGAGGUCUUGUUUGGAAUGGAUGUAUGUAUCAGUAUAUCCCACCAACUUCAAGUCGGUUGGCACACAAUACACGAACAAAUCAUUCACAAUAUCACAAUAUGGUAAAAUAAUAUAGAUCCCCACUUUUUUUUUACUUGAAAUCGCGAAAUUUUUACCAAGAUAAGUGCUAUUCGAGAACAAUUAAUUGAUUUAGAUUUGUGAAUUCGUAGAGAUUAUUUGGAGGUAGAAUGGAAAAAGUUAGGAGAAGAAUGCUCAUGAGUUAUGAAUGAGAAUAACAAAAAAUUAGAAGAAGAAAGGAUUUUUUUUUGGUUAGGUGCUUGGAAUGGAAUUGGUUAAGCAUUUUAUUCGAACAGAUAUAGAACUGGAAUGAAUGGUUUUAUGUCGUUUGGCUGUUCAGAUCUUACCUGUUAUAGAGAGGUGGUUGUUAUACACCUAUAACAACAUGUUGUUAUAGAGAGAUAAUAAGCUUACCAUAAAAUUUGUAUUGUGAAUUUUUAUUAAAUAAAGAAAAUGAGAAUUAUAUUAAAAAAAGAAAGAAAAUAGGAACCAAAUAAAUAAAAUUAAAAGACAUAUAAUAAGUGUAUGUAUUAUUGUUUUUAUGCAUAUUUUAUUUUACAUUAUUUCACAUGAUUAAUUAUAAAGUCCAUAAAUCUAAUAAGUUCAAUUAAUCAAUGAGUUAUCAAAUUAAAUUAAUUAAUUAAUUAAUUUAUAAUCAUUGUUAACCAAUGAGGUAAACAAGAGGAAGAAGAAGAUGAUUGAACAAGGAAGAAUGAAGUGAAGGUUGGGGAGUGGUUUUAGUUUUGAAGAUAGUUAGGGGAUUGGGAAGGAGUGUGUACGUGAAUCUAUAUGACUUGUUUGCAUGCCCCUUUUAUAGUGGGGAAUAAGCUUGGAUACGUGUCUUGAGGUUACUGACAUGGAAAUUUGAUUUGAUACCCUUGGCAGUGAUAAUGAUACUACGUCCUAGAAUCACGUCCUAAGAUGAGAUGUUAUAGGGUGACUAGCAAUUAAUUACUUUGGUCCUCCACGUGCCCCCACAUAGUCUUAGCGGAGUUGUUCCUUUCUAAAGUUCAUCGAGUUGAUGUUCGUGAACCAACCCUAAGUUCGUAAUGUAGUUGGUUCCAUUGAGAGAUACGCGUUCAGCUCUCUAUGGAUGCACUUUGAGGUUCAUAAAGUACAUUGUAAGGUCUGGGAGGAUCACUAGACAAGGUAUAACAAUCAUGAAUUACUAAAUUCAAGUAAUCAAUUUAUAACUUUAUGAUAUUUCAAAUUCAUAGCAAAAUAUUUAAUUAGGGAGCUUAAUAGUUUAUGGAAUUGAUAUAUUUAAUUUCACUCAGUGAAGAUUAUUUUCAUUUAAUAAAACAUGAUUAAUAAAUUUCUUCAAGUGAAAAUUAAUCAUUUUGUUGAAAUAAUAUUUUGAUUAAGAUAAUUUUCAUUUAAUAAAUGCUAAGUAAUAGGCUUGCUUAUAUGAAAGAGCUAUAAUUUUACUUAAAAUUUAGAUAAUAUGUUGUUAUAGAGAACUAAUUUAAUAAAGAACGUACUUCAUAAUUAUAGAUGUUACAAUUAAUAGUGAAAAAUUAUUAUAGAAAGUUAAAAUAGAAUAUUAAAAAUCGAUUCUUCUAAAAAUUUAACUAUUAUAAUAGAAUGUUGUUAUAACGAGUGAUUGUUAUAGAAAAAAAUAAUGCAUUACCCUAACAAAAUAGAUAAAUUUAAACUCUGACAAUUAUGAAUGAAGCAUAUUAAUUUUAAUUUCUCCUCUUAAUAUCUAAUCUAAGGUUUUGGUUUAACUUGCAUAUUUCAAUGAAUUAAUGAAUUUUGUUUAUCUAUUGUGAAAACUAUAUAUUUAGAAUACAUAUAAUAGAUUAAAAAUAAUGAAAUAUAAAUAUUGAAAUUAAUUAACAAUAACACAUAAAAUAUGUACGAUAUUAAAAUAAAAUUUACAUAUUAAAUUGUGAGUAAAAUAAAAUUUAAAGACAUAAACACAUCAUAUUAAGAGCACUAAAUACACUCCAAUUGCUUAUUAUGGUGUUGUCAUCAAUCUAGAGUUAGUGCUGAAUUCACUUAUGACACCAACUCAAUCAGCAACAUUAUUAAUACUAGAAAUUUUAUCACACAUAAGCGUGUGGAAAUCACAUAUUUAGAAUACAUAUAUGUGUUUAAAAAUAACAUGUAAUAAAUAAUAAAAGAUAUUGUUUGAAACUAAUAAUAAGACACAUGCAAUAUGUACGAAAUUAAAAUGAAAAAAUAUAGUUUAAAUUGUAAUUUUUAAAAAAAGUCAUUUUCCUAUAACAUGUCAAAAAGUUAUUGAAAGAAAAUUCAAUAUUAAAAUUCAAAUUAUGGCACACCCACAAUGUUUGUGAAAAAUUAAAUUACGUAUCAAAUAUAUUUGUAAAAAACUUAUAUAAAUAAUAAAUAAUGUUUUAGUUGAAUGGUAAAAUAUAAAUGAGAAAAAUUAAAGAGACAUGAGUUUAAAUCUUAUUUUAUAUACACAUGAGCGCGCGCACACACACAUAUAUAUUUGCAUUUUUCUAUUUUUAUAUAAAAUAAAUAAAAUGAUAGAAAUGCCUUCAAAAUAAUACAAUUUAUUUCAUAUAGUCAGGGUAUUUUAAUCUUUUUUCAACUGAGUUGGUAUCUAAUUAACCCGUGACACCAACUCAAUAAGGAGCCUUAAGUAUAGAUAUACAAUUGGUGGAGGUAAUAUAGCGUGCAUAAUAAAAUUAAAAUGUAAAAAGAUAAAAUAAAUCUUUAGUUGAGCGGUAAUUUAAGCUUUUAUUAAUACCAUCAACUUGGGUUCAAGUCCCACUGAUUGUAUUUAUUAUUCUUUUUAAAUAAAAAGAUAAAAGUACCCUCGAAAAAUAAAAUUUAUUUUUAAGUAUUAAAGAACAUUAUGAUAAUUUUCCUAAUUGAGUCGGUACUUAAUUGACUUAUGGAAUUAACUUAAUCAAGAACUUGAAUAAUAGUAUAGAUAAUGACUUGUUUGUAUAUACAUGUUCAAUUUUGUAUGUUGAAAAAAACCUUGUUAUUGAAGAUGUAUUUAUAUUUCCUCAGCAAAAUUGAAAAUAGAGAAAAAUAUAAAGAGAAACGAUUUUUUAUUGUUUUUAUUUGUGUGCUUGAUAAAAUAUACGAAAAAUUGAAAGUAAAAGUAAUUUUUUUUUUAUUGAUUGUUUAGUAGAGUUAAAAAAUGAAUUCAUUAAAAAUGGCUUCUGUCAUAAUUUGCUUCCGAACUAUAAGUACUUAAAUAAAUUUUUUUGUCCCAUUUUGAUACCUCAUUCAUUAUAAUUUUCGGUCCAAAAUAUUAAUGGUAUUAAAAAAAUUGUCAAACCAACCAAUGCGCUACAUGUUUGACAUUUUCACGUGUCAUUAAUUAUGUGACCAAUUAUCGAUGAUGUGGUCGUUAAUCAUUGAUCGUAUCGAACAACUGUUUGCUAGACAUUGGUUGGCAUGUAAAAGAAGGUCACAUAUACCAUUAAUUUUUUGGACCAAAAUUUAUAACAAAACAAUAGUUUAGGUAUUAAAAUAGGGAAAAAUGUUUACGCAAUAAAAUAAGAAAAGCAGAAUAGUGACUCGUGACCUAAACUUAAAAAAAAAUGCAUAAUUUUGAUAUAACAUACAUUUCUCUUAUCAUCCCAAUUUAUCAUAAUUUAUUUUUAUGCACUAAAAUGUAAAAUUAUUAUCCCUUCUUAUAUUUGAUCAAGUACGCCCUAUUUUUACUUCUUCACUUUUAUCUUACUUUUUAUUACAACACCAAUUUUAAAAAUAAAUAGAGUUGAAACAACAUUUUAAAAAAUAAUAAGAAACAUGACUAGGUUUACACAUUCAACCUCGUUUAUUUAUUGCCUUUUGACACAGUAAAUUUCCAGAGCAAGGGAAGACAUAAUCGUAGGAUAAAAGUUGCAAAGUUUGGCAUUCUGAUCUCAAUUUUUUAAAAUAAUAACAUGAAUAAACUAAUGAUAGAUUGAUUUAUUUAUUCUCUUUUUAAUUUUUUAUUUAAUCUGUUUUUUUUCACCAAUUUGUAUUAAUUUAAGAAUUUUGAUUUGUCUUAAAAUUAAAAGUGAUAAGUAUCGAAUUGAAUAUAUGUGAAAAUAUGAUGUAGUAUUAUAAAUGUGAAAUUGAAUUAAUAUCAUUAUGUGUAAUGCUAUUAUAUUGGAGAAUUGAUUAUUGGUUGAUGAAAUUAUGUAAUGAAAUUGAGAAAUUGUUACCCUAUUAACUGUUCGGGUAGAGUCGGAUAUAGUUGGCAUGCCAUAGGAUAGGAAGAGUUCAGGGUUACUUCGGUUGUACCGAUGAGGCACUGAGUGUCAAACACAUUGAUGAGCGUUGGGCUCAAACUAUUUACUUCGACAUUGUCCGAUGAGGCACUGGGUGUCAAACUGGUUUGAUUGGUUAGAUCCGUAUAUAUGUCCGAGUCCGAUUUAGAUUAAUAGGGGUAUAAAAUAAAUUUUGAUAAAUGAUAUUUGAAUUGGGUUAAUAUUAUGUUUUGAUGAUUUGUAUACAUAUUGUGAUUAACGGAUAUCGAUGACACGUAAAAAAUCAUACGAACCAGUUAUGUGCCUGAUGGGCCGAUAUAAAAAUGUGAUGAAUCAAUAAGUUCAAUUCAGAAUUUAAAUAAGGAAAUGAAAUAGUAAUUGUCAUUAAACUUAAAUUGGAUAUAUAACUGAUAAAUAGAUGGAAUGACAUAAUAUUAUAAGAAUGAUGUUCAUAUGGUUAAAUGUUGAAUUGAUUUUGAGAAUGGUAUUGAAAUGUGAUUUUAGGUGAGGUUUAUUUCAUAUUGAAAUGUUAUAUGAUGAGUUUAAAUGUUAACUCAGCUUGUUGAUUUAUGAUUGUCAUGUUUAGGUAAAAUUGUCAAGUUGAAUAACUUGUUGUGUUAAAUCGUAAAAUAAGGUAAGAUGUUUAAAUACCAGUGAACUUACUAAGCAUUUGUAAUGUUUACCUUCCACUUGUUUCCUUUUCCCUGUAAAUUGCCAACUUAAGGAACGUGUCAAGUGGAUCUUUGAGAAACUCACAUUAUCAUGUUGUUGAUUCGGUAUCUUUUAAUCAUUUAAAGUUCAAUUUUGUGGCAUGUAUAUAGGUAAUUUGUUUUGAUCAAUCUUGAAUGUUGGCACUUUGGUUCUUGAAUGUGAUUGGUAUUUUGAAUGGUUAUAUGUUAUAUACAUAGGUGUAAAGGUUGGUAAUGUGAUGCUCGAGUAUAGGCAUAAUAUGUAUAGAUAUGUUAUCUGGGAGUGAUAGUGUUUUUGGAACCUUAAAUAAUGUUAAACUUAAUUGGCAAAUAGGUUGUGUACUAAAAUGUGCACUUUGACAUUUUUGUCAAGUUAUGGUAGAAGCUUAAAUGGCAUUUAUUGAGGUUGAAAUGUUAAGAUGUUUGGCGUGCCUUAUUGAAUGAUUGAUGAAUACAUAUGCUAUUAAGCUUACCAAAGUGUUCAUUACAUGUGAAAUAACUUGUACGGUUUUGUAGUUAACAAAAUGGAUGAAUUAGGAUGUGUUUAGAAUAAUUUUAUGCAGGUUUGUAUUGGCCAAAUGUACACCAUUUUAGCCUUUAAUUUGUUUUGAUUAUAUUUAUUCUUUUUACUAUAAUGUUUAAAAUUAUUCAUAAUCUCUUUCGAACUCAUAAAUAAAAAAAUACACUAUUUUCAAUCUAACUAUCGUCAAUCUAAGACGAAUUUCAUAGUUUGUCGUUUUAGUAUCUUACGUAAAGAGAACGAAAGAAAAGUUCAACAACCGGAACUUAGACCUGGCAGUCUACACGUCUUCAUUUAAUAUUCGAAAUAGAAUAUUAUUAUUGAGCUUAUAUUACAUGUUACAAUAUAUGUAGAAUGAAACAAAAGAAUACUAUUGAGGAAAUUAAUUAAAUUAAAAUCCCUGUUAAGGAGCAGUGCAUUCUUUAGGAAGUCCCUGAGGGAAUCGCUUGGUGUCAGUGCAGUAAUUGUAAAUCAUGUAAUUUUUCUGAACCCAUUUCAGCCUUUCUUGGCUCGUUAUAUCCAGUUCUUGCGAUAGCCAUGAAUUUUGAGAGGGCGAGGUGGAGGAACAUGAUGAUUUCCCGGAAGACCACACACAUGUAUCAGCCUUGUAAUUCCUGUAAGCAGCGGUGAAAGGAGCUUGGCUCCAAUCUGUCUUAACAAGACCACCUCGAGUGGCCCAAUCAUCGGCGUUCCAAAGACUCGAAUACACUCUCAUCGGCUGGCUCUUUGGGAACGCAACGCCCUUCGAUUCCAAGUUCUUGAACUCUCUGAGCGGAGUCCCAUCAACAGAGAAGCUGUGAACAUUCAAAAGAAUCACAGUGAAACAUAAUGAAAAUAAUCGAAACUGUAAAAUUGAAUGGGGGGGGGGUUGUAAAAGAAGACGUACAUAAUACGUUGAGGGUUCCAAAGAAGGGAGUAGGUGUGGAAGUCUUUGGUGGGAUCGAACCAAAGGUAGAACUGUUGCUCUUUGUCACCUUUGCCUUGUGUAUAUACAUUGGUGUGGACUAUGUAUGGGUCUCCGCUUAGGUUCCCCAAGAACUCGAAGUCGAUUUCAUCCCAUGUCGACCCUUCCGAACGAAGCUGCAAUUGUCACCCCACAUAUCAGCACAGAGUUGUAAAAUAAAUAAGAGACAAGUAUGAUGAUACAACUUACAUAGUAAGUGGUAACAGUGCCAGCAGAGUUGCUUGGGACCAGCUUAAUGUUCAUAUCAAUCUUCCCAAACAGAUAUUGGUUCUUGGAUUGAAAACCAGAGCCGGAGAAUUUGUCGAGGGUGAGAGUGAGAAGGUUUCCGUUUUCGAGAAUCUUGCCCCUCCCAUCUCCCCAAGUAACGUCGAUGUCUUGGUUAAAGUUGGCGGCUGAAGCAACCAUUACAAAGCUGAUUAAGGCAGAUAGUAGCAGCAAUGAAGUCCUCAUUUUUUUUGGUAGGUUUGUAUUAUGAUGUUAGGAAAUGGGGGAGUGAUAGAGGGUGGUUAUAUAGGGGAGGUGGAUUUGGUGAGAAAGAUGAAGAGAGAAGCUUCGUGGUAUGUGUUACCGUCGGGACAUUGAGUGAAUCAAAGUUGUAAACAGCUGGAAACAUAAAGAGAAAGAAAGAAAAGAAAAAGGUCCAAAUCAAUAAUACUGAGGGGUGUUGCUUGGAAGUUGGUACCAAUAUGCAUGUAUAAUUUAUGGAUUUGGUGCCGCCUUUCCAUGUCUGGUUACUGUGCAUUUGCAUGUCAGGAAUUGAACCGGCAGUUGAAGCAGUAAAACUUUGAUUCAGAGUUUCAACUUUAAAAUAAUUAAUAUUCAUUAUAUCCAUCAGUGUAAUAAACAUAUCACAAUCAAAACACACUGUAAUACACUCACCAAUCCCAAACGAGGUUGGGGUUUGGAGGCCAGAACCCAACUGUUUAUACGCAGGCUUAUACGUUGUGCAAUUUGAGUGAACCACAAGAUUUCAUUAGCCUAAAACCAGUGGUGUUAAUUAAUGUGAGUCAUUGUCAUAUUGGCUGACUAAUUUUUGGGGACCAAACCAGAACUCAACCACUGGGCUCAUCACGUUAAUCAAAACAACUAUUAAUUAUUAAUUAUUAAUUAAAUCCAUUACAAAAAAUGCCUGACCAUAACUAUUUUCUUUUCAUUUAUUAUCUAGACUGAAAUUUGAAUCCUUAAUUCAAAAAAGUAAAAUCCAUUGGUGAAUUACUUUGUGUUUGAUUAUUUCAAGGAUUUCCGUAAUGAAAAAAAUCUUAACUUUUGAACAAGUCAAUUGUUCUAGAAAUAUCUUAAAAAGUCAAGUAAUAAUAUACAUUCUAAAAAAAACUAAAAUUGAUAAAUCAAUAAUCUAUUAAAUAUUAAAUUUAGGUGUUAUUUGAUAAAUUAAAAAAAAUUAAAUGUUCAAAAAUUAAGUAUUGAGUUUAAGUUAUAAAAUUUGUUUGAUAUAUUACUUAAAAUUAGUUAUGGAAUAUAAUUAGAUUGUUUGAUAAAUAUAGAUUUUAAAUUAUAAAAAAUUAUAUUCUACAUUUUAUCUUUAAUUUUUAAACAUUUCACCUUAUUCUAAACAAAAAUUAAAAUUUCAAACGUAAAAUUUUUAUAAAAAAUAUAACAUUACAAAAAACUAAAAUUAAAAUAAUUGAAAAUAUUUUCAAUUAAGUGAUAAAUAAUUUUUAUCUACUUAUUAUUUUUCACAUUUUUUUAUAAGGAAUUCUAACAUAUUGCCUUAAUUUUCAACUUUUUAUCAAAGAAGGUCUUAGUCAUGAUUUAAUUAAAAUUUAACAUUGUAUUGUGCCCUCUUCUUUUCAUAGAAAAAGCCUAGCUAUUCAACUUUUUCAAAUUAAAUCUUUACUCUGUGGGCAGCGGCGCUGGCCUUCAAGCUUGUUGCUAAUCACAAUUCCUCUUAACAAUUUUUGUAGUUUUAUUUUGUUUUUAAUUUCAAUCUACAUUAUUGUGGUUUUGUCUACAGUUUUGUGGUUUUAUUUUGUCCACAUUUUUUAUGGUUUUUGUUUUGUCCACUUUGUUUUCUUUGAAAAUAGUGGUGGUUUUAUUUUUACAUUUAAUUUUUUAGUCAUGUUCUAACAGGUAUGUGAGAUAUUGUAACACCCCCAACCCGUAUCCGUCGCCGGAACUGGGUUACGGAGUAUUACCGGAUAUAUCGGAUAACUUAUCACUAAUUCACAAAUAAAUAACAUACAUAGCAUACUUUAAUCAAUACAUUACCUAGAUAUUAGAUACAUGCCACAAUAUCAAAAGAAAGGCACAUCACUAAAAUUCACUAAUUCAAAAAUAUUUUUAAAGUCACGCUUAACUUAUAAUUAUUAAUUAAUAAAUUUUUCUAACUUUUUGAUCGAAUUUAGUGAUCUCAAAUCACUGUUCUGACACUACUGAAAAUUGAGCUGUUACAACUCUUCCCCCCUUAAAAAUUUUCGUCCUCGAAAUUUCUCACUGAUACAAGCUAUUAAGUCAAAUCUUUCUUCCACCUUUUUUAUCGAAGUCCAUAAAAUUAAUCAUAACUCAUAUCACUUCCGAACUCAUAUCAAAACUCAUUUUAGAACUUGAUACUAUGACUGAACUUAAUUGAGUAGCUCUGAUGUUCUCCUGUCAUCACUUUCUCACUAGUAGUAUAACUACCGAGAAUUUCCAGUAAUCGUCAAUCAAAACAUAACUGAGAAACCCGUAUUAUUAAACUCUGACUGAUAUUUUUGACGUGGUUGCAUCUGUAACUUUCAACUGAUAUUUGUUUCUUUUUUUUUCCAUGAAAGCGUCAAGUAAUAUCAUUUUACACAACUGCAAUAACUUCAACAACAAGGACAACUUUAACCCAUAAUAAUAUUUCCCGAUUAAAACUGACCUGAUAGAUAUAUUUCUGUAUCAAGUCUUCUAGAAUCUGAUUUUUUCAUUCUGAUUGUCCUUCUAUUUACCCAUGAAUACACAAAAUUUAUUCCCGGUCCUGAGAAUAGACUCAAAUGCAUAAAAACCAGUUGCCUACGGAUUAUCCUUCAUCCUUUAUCCAGCAGAGCCAUCUCUUGCAAUCUAUGAACCUGAACCAUCUUAUCUAAUACCUUCGAACGAAGACCUUGAAAACCCAUCCAGCCAGAAAAAAGCAGAUAAUUUAAACCCAUUGUGAAGACCCAAAAUGUACUGAUUCCAUCAGUGAUUAUAACUCAAUUAACUUUUCAAUGAAUAACCCACUUUGAUUAGAACAACUGAGUCGAUUUUAUCUAUCAGAUAAUAACAUUUCAGAAUAAUCCAUUCUUCUUGUUGUCAAAACAAUCCAGAUAUACCAUAUAUCAUAAUUUUCUCGGAAUAUCAACAGAAAUUUACCACAAACUGCAUUAACUCAAACGAAUUAUGACAUCUCAUUAUUGACUUGCUGACAUAAUUCAGGAUUACCUGAGAAAUAAAAACCAAUGUACAAAUUUGAGCUCAAUCUUCCACCAUCUACUCUUUUUUCGAUGUCAACCCUUUCAUGAAAACUGGAAAAGAAUUAUAUAUAAUAAACCUAUUUCAAUUAUAAUCAUCGAAGCUUUGAACUAUACCGAAGCCACAACCAUCAGAUAGAUUAAAAACUAUAGAGCAAUAAUAGGACUGGCGUUCCAACUGUAUAGAUAGAACAAUACCUCAACAUCAAUAGUGAAUUCCAAAAUAGAUGAAGAAAAUCGAAAGGAGUCCCAUUAACAACCAGUGCAGUAAUACAACUUCUAUAAUAUGAUAUCCAUAUCACCGAGCUACCAUGAUUGAACCAAAAUUAAUAACAGUAAUAAAUAUAACUACCUCCGGCCAAUGAAUAACUUUUAUAGAUGAACCAUGUUUAAUAAAUAAGAUUAGACCAUAAGAAUGAUAAGAAAACCGAGAUAAUAAAAUCCAAGAUGUGAAGCUAUACUGAAUUUUCGAGAAUAAAAACCACAUUGAAUGAUAAAGAGAUCGAUGAUAUCCCAGAGAAAAUUCAGAAGAAGAAUAUCGCUCGUACACACUAAAAAUAGUUGUGAUAAAGACAAUAUAAAUUCCAUAUAUGUAAUUCGGAAAAUUCAACCAGUAGAAAUAGAAAAUAACUUCAUAUGAUUCUUAUCAUCAAGUCUUCUAUCAAACAUAAUAGAUUAGAAAACCAAAGAAAGAUAGAACAAUGCCAAUCAUAAAUCAACCAGACUAACAAUACUUCCAGCUAACAUUAUGUUUAACCAAACUUUCUAUAUGAUAAGAAUCACAUCUGAAAAUAAACAGUUGAUGCUUCUUUAUUUGUUCGGGUCGUACUGGUUCAACGUUGUAUGUUCUUGUGUACGUUGAUGAUAUUAUUGUUACAGGUGAUGUGCCUUCUGCUAUAGAGUGGUUUGUUCAAUUGUUAAAUAGUAAGUUCUCGCUUAAGGACAUGGGCGAUCUUCAUUACUUUCUUGGGAUAGAAGUUACUCGUUCUUCAUCAGGCUGUCUUCAUCUAUGUCAGAAGAAGUAUAUACGUGAUAUUCUUAUUCGGUGUUCGAUGGAAAAUGCGAAGAGUGUUAAUACACCGAUGAUUAGUUCCUCUAUCAUGACUAGAGAUGGUGGUGAGCGUUUAGAGGAUCCGACUGAAUACAGGAGCCUUGCUGGAGCAUUACAGUAUGUCACUCUUACGCGGCCUGAUGUUGCAUACGCUGUAAAUCGAAUAUGUCAGUUUAUGCAUUGUCCCACUUCUGUUCAUAUGACUGCUCUAAAGCGUAUUUUGAGGUAUCUAGGUGGAACGAUUGAAUUUGGGAUUGUGUUUCGUCCGUCCACUAGUUUGUCAUUAGUUGGGUAUGCUGAUGCAAACUGGGGGUUAGAUUUUGAUGACUGGAGGUCUACUACUGGGUACUAUGUUUAUUUCGGAUGUAAUCCUGUGUCGUGGUGUACGAAGAAACAGCAGGUUGUUGCUCGGUCUACUGCUGAGGCAGAAUACCAGAGUCUUGCCGCGGUCACUAGUGAGGUUACAUGGCUUUUGUCGUUACUUCAAGAAUUACAUGUUCAGUCUACUAGUAUUCCCAAUAUUUGGUGUGACAGUUCUGGUGCGGUUGCAGUUGCUACUAAUCCUGUUGUUCAUUCAAAGUUUAAGCAUGUUGAAUUAGAUUUAUUUUUCGUUCGUGAAAAGGUUGCUGAUGGUACUGUUGCCGUUGGUGAGGUUCCGGCGUGUGAUCAAGUUGCUGAUGUUCUCACUAAGCCACUUUCGCUAUCGAUUUUUGCUCGUUUUCGAAAUUUCCUACGGGUCUUGCCUGUGGAGAAGAUGGAUGAAUAUUAGAGUAUAGAGAGUUGUUAGUUAGUUGUGAAUAUGGUAGAAGGUUGUUGCUUAGUAUGGAGCAGUUACUCAUGUCUAUAAAUACUGUACAUCUGUAUUCAGAGAGCAAGGAUUUUUGAAUAAACAAACAAAGAAGUUUAUUCUUCAUUUUCUAUUUUGUUCUCUGUUUGGCUAGAUAUUUCUUUCUAUUUUAUCUAGCUCUUUCAUUCUCGAAAGGCUAGGCUAGUAACACUUUUACUCUACGAAAGAAAAACUGAGCCACCACAAACCAAGGCAUCCCCCCCCCCCCCCCACAAAAAAAAAUUGUAACUAAACAUCUUGUGAAAAUUCUUAAAAAAAUUAUAAAAAAUUAAAAAUUUUAAAUUUUAUACUGCAGUUUUUUAAUGAUUUUUACAAUUUUUAGUUAACGAUUAUUUUACAGUUUUUUUAAGAAUUGAGUAUUUUGUUACAAAAUUGUGUUUUUUCUCUAGGAAUUUGAGUAUUGGCAAAAUUAGGCAAAAAUGCCACUUUUAAUAAAAAAAAUUAGGAAAUCAAGAUCAAAUUGAUAAAAUAUGUAAGUAUUGAGGACUAAAUAUAUUAUUAUACCAGUUAGAAAAAGACUUUUGAUUAUCAAUUUAACGACAAGUAAUCAAAAUAAAAAUAAAUUCAAACAUUAAUACCUAAAUUAAAAAAUUUUAAAUUAAGUAACCAAAAUAAAAAAUGCGAGCAUAAUUAAGUAAAUUAUCAAUUUAUCCGAAUUUAUAUUAUAUUUAUUAUUAAUAUAUCAAAAUUUAUAUGAAUGUUAUAUUAUUUUAAAUCAUUUUGAGCUUCUAGUCAGCUACUAAAUGCGAAUAUAUAAUGUUGUGGCAUGGCCCAUCGAGGUCUUGCUUCGAAUGGAUGUAUGUUGAUAUAUGUCUCUCACCAACUUCAAAGUCGGCUGGCACACCAAACACGAACAAAUCAUUGGCAAAAUAUCACAAUAUAUAUCCCGAGGUGUCACAUGCGAUUUUUCUAUAGGUUUUCUUUAAGUAAGUUGACCAUAGGUCUACGGUAGCAACUGGAUACAUUUUCAAUCAGAAAAUAUUAAUAUAUACAUAUUUUAUAUAUGAAUAUGAUAAAAUAUCAGAUUAAUUUAAAAAUUUACAUAUAUAACAAUUACAAUUAUAUCAAUAAUUGUAUUGUUAAAAUAUUAUUUGUAUAAAAAAUUAUAAUAUGAUUUUAAUUUUAGAUGGAUAAAAACAGAUUUCGUAGUUGAUUAUUGAGCUUAUAUUAUUAAUUACACCUAUAUAUUUCCCUGGUUAGAUGUUUUGACUUCAAUCAGAGAAACAUUAAAGUAGUAUAAUUUCCGAAACUGAAUAGUAUUAUUUAUUGAGCUUAGUUUUACAUGUUACAAAACAUUGACUGAAACAAAAGAAUACUGUGAGGCUGCUUUUGAACAAAGUAUCUGUCCUUCGGCAUGACUAGCGAUGGGAAUCUUAAUCAACAAAUUAAGAAGCGGUGCACUCUUUAGGAAGUCCCAUAGGAAAUCGCUUGGUGUCGGUGCAGUAAUUGUAAAUCAUAUAAUUUUUCUGAACCCAUUUGAGCCUUUGUUGGCUCGCUAUAUCCAGUUCUUGCGAUAGCCAUGAAUUUUGGGAGGGUGAUGAGGUGUAGGAACAUGAUGAUUUACCGGAAGACCAGACACAUGCAUCAGCUUUGAAAGUCCUGUAAGAAGCAGUGAAAGGAGCUAGGCUCCAAUCCGUCUUAACAAGACCACCUCGAGUGGCCCAAUCAUCGGCGUUCCAAAGACUCGAAUACACUCUCAUCGGCUGGCUCUUUGGGAACGCAACGCCCUUUGAUUCCAAGUUCUUGAACUCUCUAAUUGGUGUCCCAUCAACAGAGAAGCUGUAAACAUUCAAAAGAAUCACAAUUAAACAUACUGAAAAUAAUCGAAACUGAAACGUUUUUAGAAAAAUGGGAUUGUAUAAUAAGACAUACAUAAUACGUUGAGGGAUCCAAAGAAGGGAGUAGGUAUGAAAGUCUUUGGUGGGAUCGAACCAAAGGUAGAACUGUUGCUCUUUGUCACCUUUGCCUUGUGUAUAUACAUUGGUGUGGACUAUGUAUGGGUCUCCGCUUAGGUUCCCCAAGAAUUCGAAGUCGAUUUCAUCCCAUGUCGACCCUUCCGAACGAAGCUGCAAUU
rnacentral:lncRNA from 1 species